rnacentral:rRNA from 1 species
CACCAGGUUGAUUCUGCCUGACGUAGAUGCUAGUCUCUAAGAUUAAGCCAUGCAUGUUUAUGAAACAAGGACGAACAGCUCAGUAGAACUGCGAUGAUUCAGUCUGUCCGAGCGCGAUAACUACGUGAAAAUGUAGCUAAGAGGGGACAGAACAAGACGCAGGCCUAUCAGUUAGUUGGUAGUGUAAUGGACUACCAAGACGGCGACGGGUAACGGGGAAUCAGGGUUUGAUACCGGAGAGGGAGCCUGAGAGACAGCUCCCACGUCCAAGGACGGCAGCAGGCGCGAAAA